AGGUGGGCUGUGAAUCUGGUGGGUCUCUGACAAUUAUUCCUUGUGGUGUGGAAGCUUCAUUCCUGUCACACAUCUCCAAAGGGCUCUGCUGGAGUCUCCUGGGCUUUUCCUUGUGAGUGAAGACCUCAAGGAACCUCAAGAGGUUCUACCAGCAACCUCUUUUGGUGAACGAGCACAUGCUGGUCACCACCAACUUCUUCCCCAUCCCCAUCAGGAAAUUGAUGGGAGACUGACGUGAGGCUGGAAACUUCACAGGACGCUCCCUGAGUUGCCUCCUCCAUCGUGCCACAAGGAUUGUUGAAACAGAACUGAAUGAAACUUCACGUCCCAGGUAAUUUCCUAAUGACUAUCUGAGAGGAGCACAGCAGAUAGAACAGCACAAUCUCCAAGAGGGCUGCUCCAGAGACCUUGCACAUCCCAGGCAUGACAAGAAGAUCAGGCAUGUUGAAACCCUCAAAUUUGUGACCAGCAAGAUACGAUUCAGCAAGAACAUUACAGGACGUUUUAGG